UGGUGUCCAUUGCCUCCUGUGAGACGCCGGACAAGCGCUCUUGCGAGCGAGAGGUUUUCCGAGAGAGUCCUGCCCCGGAAGGCAAGACCCCUGCGCCCACCAGCCCGGAGGUCGAUGGGGCUCCCUGAGGGAUUUGGCUGCGCUGGCCGUUGCGAGCGCUGGAAGGGGUCUCGGAGGUUGGGGCAGCUUCGGCUGCGCCCACCUUCGGGGUCGAUGGCCCCGUCUGCUGGGUUGGCGGAGCAGCGCUAGCGGCAACCGCCGCGGGGGCAGAUGGCGUAACUGCCGACUCACUGCCUGUGAGUCGGACAGCCGCCGGAGGCCGUUGUGACGCUGCCCCCUUACGCGCCACUUCGGCAAAGCUGCUCUUAGGCAGGACGGGCAUGAGCGCGAAUAUGCAGGAUGCUCGCCAUCACAGUUGACACAAUGUGGAGUUUUCUGGCAUGUUUCGGAAGAAUGUUCAUUGUCACUGCACUUGGCACAUGUCAGGCGGCCUCGACAGUUCUGUGAACUGUGGCCGAACCUUUGGCACUUAAAGCAUCUGAGAGGAUUGGGAACGUAUGGCCGAACACGAAGUUUGAUAUAACCAGCCUCGACGGACUCGGGGAGGACACUUGAACCGAAAUUUUCAUCAAUAACGAUUCGUGCAACAUCUAUGUGUACCGAAAGGACUUACUCCACAAACACUUCCUUCUCCAUAAAUCGUCUACAUUUCAAGCACUUGAACGAUAACAAGCACUACAUUGAAACUGUUACUAAAUAGAUUCCCUAAAUAUGGCAUACGCUAUAGAAGAGUCAGGGAUAGCGCGUAUUCCAGAUGGACUACAACAAGAAGAGGAACCGCAAUUGUACUUUUUUAUUUUUAACGUACAGGUCAUACGUUUUUAAACAGGGAUAAGGUGCUUCAGUAAGGCUGGACAAAGUUUUGAUAGGAGAACCUUAGUCAAAGGCGGCCUUGUCAUUCUCGCCAGAUUAGUUAUAACAUACGUUACCCGCGGUCCUGGUCAGUGGCGUCUGGCUGUACAGAGAGCGAGAGACUGAAGAGGAUAUAAGCGCUGUCGCUUGGCAUCACUAGGCGUGGUGCCAUGACAGAUAUGACACGAGGUCGAGUGGAGGAACACGGUAAAAAAGACGAGGGAGUUAAGAAGCCUUCAGAGUUCUCUGUUUGUAGAAUUGCCAUAAAUUUGUUGAUGACAUGGAAUUCUUCAUAUUUAUUUCUCAGAGCGAACGAAACUGGUAACUAUAGUAUACAAAGAUCUAAUUUACCAAAAUUUUGACUUCGCAUGAUCAACGAUUUACAACAGCUUUGAAAAUAUUUUGAUCGUGUUCGUAUAGUGUAUGUUUAGGCUCGCAUUUGUUCGCGGUGCAACUUCGCCAAUGCACUAUUUUCGCAAGAACAGACUGUCCAAAAUAUAAAAGAGGUUCGCUGUUCAGCUAUUAUAAGAACUAUGUGGUGGAUGUUAUAACAAUCUGCUUGACUCGUGAACCUGUACAGUAAUCCACUUUAAUGAUCCCAGUUGCAGAAAAAUCGUAAAAUUGGAAAUUAAAUUUUUAUGAUGUUCUUGAAAUCCAAAUAUAUACACACUGAAUGCCGCUGCCAUAUUCAGGCACUGUUGAAAAAGACGAGGAUGCGCCUUGUAGGUUUACCAGAA